UCUGGUAAUGAUGGCAGAGAGGUCACACCCGUUCCCAUACCGAACACGGAAGUUAAGCUCUCUAGCGCCGAUGGUAGUUGGGACCUUGUCCCUGUGAGAGUAGGACGUUUCCAGGC
rnacentral:rRNA from 1 species